rnacentral:tRNA from 1 species
UACUAAGGGUAAUUAAAAGCUUUAGCGUUUCAUUUACACAGAAAAGAUUGUUCAUUCAAUUUUUAUGAAU